rnacentral:antisense_RNA from 1 species
CAACUGGAUGUCUGGAUGAACUACUGAAAGCUGCUGAGUGUCCUGCAGCAGAGUGUCACUCUGUCGCCCAGGCUAGAGUGCAAUGGCGCGAUCUCGGCUCACUGCAACCUCUGCCUCCAGGGUUCAAGCGAUAGUCCUGCCUCAGCCUCCCGAGUAGCUGGGACUACAGAUAUAAUACGUAAGUUUGGAGGUGGAUGCUUUCAGCCAUUAAGUUCAAAAGUACUGCUACAUGGGCCAGGUGUGGUGGCUCACACCUGUAAUCCCAACCCUUUGGGAGGCCAAGGCAGUCAGAUCACGUGAUCGGGAAACUGAGACCAUCCUAGCCAACAUGGUGAAACCCCGUCUGUACUAAAAAUACAAAAAUUAGCUGAGUGUGAUAGUGUGUGCCUGUAGUGCCAG